rnacentral:rRNA from 1 species
UACGAAGGGGGCUAGCGUUGCUCGGAAUCACUGGGCGUAAAGCGCACGUAGGCGGCUUUUUUAAGUCAGAGGUGAAAUCCUGGAGCUCAACUCCAGAACUGCCUUUGAUACUGGAGAGCUUGAGUCCGGGAGAGGUGAGUGGAACUGCGAGUGUAGAGGUGAAAUUCGUAGAUAUUCGCAAGAACACCAGUGGCGAAGGCGGCUCACUGGCCCGGUACUGACGCUGAGGUGCGAAAGCGUGGGAGC